UUAUUGAGAGUUUGAUCCUGGCUCAGGAUGAACGCUGGUGGCGUGCCUUAGGCAUGCAAGUCGAGCGGGCCCCGCAAGGGGUCAGCGGCAGACGGGUGAGUAAUAGUAAGGAAUCUACCUCGAAGUGAAGUAUAGCUCGUCGAAAGACGGGGUAAUACUGCAUGUUCUCGCAAGAGCAAAGGGCGUCACUGCCCGCUUCGAGAGGAGCCUUACUCCUAUCAGCUAGUUGGCUGGGUAAAAGCCCACCAAGGCGAUGACGGGUAGCUGGUGUGAGAGCACGACCAGCCACAAUGGCACUGAGAUACGGGCCAUACACCUACGGGUGGCAGCAACCAGGAAUAGUCGGCAAUGGGCGAAAGCCUGACCGCGCGACGCCACGUGAGGGAUGAAGUAUUUCGGUAUGUAAACCUCUUUUGCCAGACCAUCGAGGUCUGGAGAAUAAGCGCCUACUAACUACGUGCCAGCAGUCGCGGUAAUACGUAGGGCGCAAGCGUUAUCCGAAUUUAUUGGGCGUAAAGCAUCGCGUAGGCGGUUUACCGCAUCUUGCCUUAAAUGGUUCGGCUUAACCGGAUCAUGGGUGAGAGAUGGGUAGACUAGAGGGUUGGCGGGGUUUCCGGAACUUUCGGUGUAGCAGUGAAAUGCGUUGAUAUCGAAAGGAACACCAAGAGCGAAGGCAGGAAACCAACCAACUUCUGACGCUGAGGCAUGACAGCUAGGGGAGCGAAGCAGAUUAGAGACCUGCGUAGUCCUAGCCGUAAACGCAUGGGUGCUAGUUACCCGUUCCGCCAAGCGCGUACAUAUAUAAUGUGCGCUUUUAGCGGAAUGGGUGACGUAAGCUAACGCGUUAAGCACCCCGCCUGGGGAGUACGGCCGCAAGGUUGAAACUCAAAGGAAUUGGCGGGGACCCGCACAACCGGUGGAGCAUGUGGUUUAAUUCGAGACGAAGCGAAAGACCUCACCACGGUUUGACAUCCUAUCGUUUAGUCCCGAUGAAAAUCGGGAUCAUCCGCAAGGAUGAUAGGAAAGCUGCUGCAUGGCUGUCGUCAGCUCGUACCGUGAGGUGUUCCCUUAAGUGGGGUAACGAGCGCAACCCUCGUCGUUUGUUAUAUAUUUCAAACGAGACUGCUCCGACAUUUGUCGGGGAGGAAGGUGGGGACGACGUCAAGUCAGCACGGCGCUUAUGCCGUGGGCAACACACAUCCUACAAUGGCGAAAAACAGCGAGGUGCAAGCUGGCAACAGCAAGCAAAUCUCUGAAAUUUCGUCUCAGUUGGGAUUGCAGUCUGCAACUCGACUGCAUGAACUAGGAAUCGGUAGUAAUCGCGAAUCAGCAGGUCGCGGUGAAUACGUUCUCGGGUCUUGCACACACCGCCCGUCAAGCCAACAAAGUCA
rnacentral:rRNA from 1 species